rnacentral:lncRNA from 1 species
UCACACAAUCCUCCCGAUCCACAACACUACUAACUCUCUUUGUUCUUUUGCUUGGUACAGAAUGCUUAGAUGAUGUUUGGGGCCAAGGAACUAAUUUGGGUCAUGCAGAGGACAUUCAAGAAUUCAAAAACGGAACACUAAAUACAACUAGAGGUAUAGUGAUUGGGCUCCAUCCUCGGCGGCGGAUCGAGCGCACAUCGAUGGAGUCGCUCUUCUCCCCUCACCGGCAGGGACAGAUGGAGGCAGUGUGGGCCGGUGACUGUAGAUCAAGUGACGACCUUGACAAUGCAGAUGUACCAUGGGAGGGAAAACCUGCUUCACCGUGCACUCGAAUCCUCUGUGGGCGAAGAACUAGCGAAGGUUUGGAUCACGGACAUGUUGUGCCUCAGGCUUGUAUUGUGGCUAGCGACGGAGGUGUUGAUUCUGCUAUAUUAGGGCAUGCCGUUUACUCGAUCAUCUCCGUCAUCGAUGGGCUACUCGUCAGAAUAUCAGUUCCUGCUUCCCCAUGCAAGAGGAAGUUCAAGUUUGAAUCAUUGUUGGAAAAUGAUGUCUACUGUCCUAAAAAUACUCUUGCACUGUUUCAGUCUUUGGUUCACGCAAUGAACUUGAGAAAAUAUUACGGGAGUAUUCACUUCGUUCCUUCCCUAGGCUACAAGGCGCAUGGAUAUGCCAUCAAGCAAGUCGACAAUUGCACUGUAAAAUGCCAGAAACAAAAUGGGAAGUUUUUGUGUUCUUAUCAAGGUCCUUCCAUUCAAGGUUAA